GACGAAGGGGGCUAGCGUUGUUCGGAAUUACUGGGCGUAAAGCGUGCGCAGGCGGUUCUCCAAGUCCGUUGUGAAAGCCCCGGGCUCAACCUGGGAAUGGCAGUGGAAACUAGGGGACUGGAAUCUGGCAGAGGGGGGUGGAAUGCCGCGUGUAGCAGUGAAAUGCGUAGAGAUGCGGCGGAACACCGAUGGCGAAGGCAGCCCCCUGGGCUGAGAUUGACGCUCAGGCACGAAAGCGUGGGGAGCAAACAGG
rnacentral:rRNA from 1 species